GGCGGCAUGGCCGAGCGGUAAGGCAGGGGUCUGCAAAACCUCUCUAUUUAUCCCCGGUUCGAGUCCGGGUGCCGCCU
rnacentral:tRNA from 1 species